rnacentral:rRNA from 1 species
GACGAACGCUGGCGGCGUGCUUAACACAUGCAAGUCGAACGGUGAAGGGACCGGUUUUUGCUGGUUCUGGAUGAGUGGCGAACGGGUGAGUAACACGUGAGUAACCUGCUCCCUUCUUCUGGAUAACCGCAUGAAAGUGUGGCUAAUACGGGAUAUUCUGCGCCUGCUGCAUGGUGGGUGUGGGAAAGAUAUUGUUUCGGUGGGGGAUGGGCUCGCGGCCUAUCAGCUUGUUGGUGGGGUGAUGGCCUACCAAGGCGGUGACGGGUAGCCGGCCUGAGAGGGUGGACGGUCACACUGGGACUGAGACACGGCCCAGACUCCUACGGGAGGCAGCAGUGGGGAAUAUUGCACAAUGGGCGCAAGCCUGAUGCAGCGACGCCGCGUGAGGGAUGGAGGCCUUCGGGUUGUAAACCUCUUUCGCCAGUGAAGCAGGCCUGUCCCUUUUGUGGGUGGGUUGACGGUAGCUGGAGAAGAAGCGCCGGCUAACUACGUG